GAGAGAAUUUUCCAAUGCACGCAAGUGUGAGAAAGGAAUCGAAAGUGCUUUAACUUUUAGUUAGAGCUUUUCUCCUCUGUAAAAAUGAGGAGGAAUAAGGACUGGGCAAGACUGGUGCCAGCCGCCGCGGUAAUCCCAGCAGUUCGAGUGGUGGCCACAUUUAUUAGGUCUAAAAGAAUCGUAGCUUGCGAAGAAAGUUUCCUGUCAAAUCUUGUCUCUUAAGGGCAAGGCGCGCAGGAAAUACUACUUUGCUAGAGACCGGGAGACGUAAAGAGAACGGUAGGGGUAGCGGUAAAAUGUUUUAAUCCUUACCGGACUAACAAUGGCGAAGGCACUUUACGAGAACGGAUCUGACAGUGAGGAUUGAAGGCCAGGGGCGCAAACGGGAUUAGAUACCCCGGUAGUCCUGGCAGUAAACUCUACUUACUAAACAUUAUAGUCUCCUCGAGAGACUGUGGUGCUGAAGCGAAGGCGGAAGUAAGUUACCUGGGGAGUAUAGCCGCAAGGCCGAAACU
rnacentral:rRNA from 1 species